rnacentral:rRNA from 1 species
UACAGAGGGGGCAAGCGUUGUUCGGAAUUACUGGGCGUAAAGGGCGCGUAGGCGGCCUGUUAAGUCGAACGUGAAAUCCCCGGGCUCAACCCGGGAACUGCGUCCGAUACUGGCAGGCUUGAAUCCGGGAGAGGGAUGCGGAAUUCCAGGUGUAGCGGUGAAAUGCGUAGAUAUCUGGAGGAACACCGGUGGCGAAGGUGGCAUCCUGGACCAAUAUUGACGCUGAGGAGCGAAAGCCAGGGGAGCAAACGGG